GCAAACUUGGUCAUUUAGAGGAAGUAAAAGUCGUAACAAGGUUUCCGUAGGUGAACCUGCGGAAGGAUCAUUAUCAAUCAUGGUGAGACCUUUUUUAAGGAUCUCGCGUAUAUACUUAAAACCCAACUCUGUGAAUCAAAUAAAAUUUUAUUUUUCUAUAAAGUAAAUCUAAUAAGAUCACUUUCAACAACGGAUCUCUUGGCUCUCAGAGACAGGCAAACUUGGUCAUUUAGAGGAAGUAAAAGUCGUAACAAGGUUUCCGUAGGUGAACCUGCGGAAGGAUCAUUAUCAAUCAUGGUGAGACCUUUUUUAAGGAUCUCGCGUAUAUACUUAAAACCCAACUCUGUGAAUCAAAUAAAAUUUUAUUUUUCUAUAAAGUAAAUCUAAUAAGAUCACUUUCAACAACGGAUCUCUUGGCUCUCGCAUCGAUGAAGAACGCAGC
rnacentral:misc_RNA from 1 species